UGGCUCUGUAGAAGAUGGAGAUGAGUUAUUAGCCAGAUUUAUGAAUAGCUUCCAAAACAAUGGUGAGAAGCCUUCAACUUACCUGCACAGAUUACAAGUUCUCUUAAGCACAGCUAUUCGACGAGGUGGGAUAUUUGAAGAAGAGAGAAACCGAUAUCUUCUAAAGCAGUUUUGUCGCGGCUGUUGGGACAAAACUGCUUUAGAAUGA